GUCCCGAGAGCUGCAGCAGUGAGGAAGAGGACAAGGGAGAAGUGCCCGGGGAUCAAGCCAACAUGUGGAGACCAGGAUGCCCUGAGAGAACUUGGGAGUCUACCGGUCCAUCUGAAGAACAAUAAAGACUUCACCUGCCUCCUUCCGGGAGCGCCCCAUCCAGCGAGCAUCCUCACCACUGGCAGAGCUGCAGUCUCGGACAUCAGCAGAAACCAACCAACUGGAGGGUGAGGAGGGUUCGAUGAAAAGGUGCUGGAGAUCAUAAACCACAAGGUUUUGAAUCUGCACAGAUUUGGGGGGCUGCUACUCUGGACUGGAUCUUGCCUGUUGGUGGCCGGCAAAGGUAGGAACAGAGGUAAGUGCAAACUGUGCUGAAAGGGCAAAAUCUACUAAUUCUCUUGAAGGAUUGGUUCAAGGGAUAUCCUCAGGGUGGCCCUGGGAGCUGGCAAAUGUUUCCUAGAUGAACCUCAGUGGAUUUACACGUGUCUAAGCUUUUUGACCUUAAAAUCUGCUGGUAGGAUUUUUGUUGCCCAUAUACAGCAAGGAGAGAAGGAGUUUUCCUAGAUCCGAGGAAAAAAACGAGGUGAAGGUACAGCGGUCCAAGAAGGAGAAUUCACACGAUGGUGUCAGCCUUCGGAGGCACGGCCACUGUCCCUGCGCCCCAGUCUUGCAGGGGGGCAAGCAGGGGCAGCCUGGUGAGAGGGAACCGGGGGAGGAGGGAGGUGAGGAAC